UGUAGUUUGCGUUCAGCUUUAGAACAAAAAUCUGUCUUUUUUUUUUUUGAGACAGAGCUUUGCUCUUGUUGCCCAGGCUGGAGUGCAAUGGUACAAUCUCGGCUCUCUGCAACCUCCACCUCCUGGGUUCGGGUGAUUCUCCUGCCUCAGCCUCCUGAGUAGCUGGGAUUACAGGUGUGCAUCACCAUGCCCAACUAAUUUUUUGUAUUUUUAAUAGAGACAAGGUUUCACUGUGUUGGCCAGGCUGGUCUUGAACUCCUGACCUCAAGUGAUUCACCCACCUUGGCUUCCCAAAGUGCUGGAUUACAGGCAUGAGCCACCGUGCCUGGCCAGAGGCCUGUGUUGUGACCCAAGUUUUUUGUUUUUAUCAGGAUUCCAUCGUCCAUGAUGGCUAUUUCUCAAGUUCUCUGCUCUGUUUUGGACCUCCCUGCAUCUCUCCCUGCGUCACCAUCCCUGGGCGCUCAGGGCUGCUCCUCUGCCCUCUGCAGGGCCUCCGUGGUGUGCUCUGUCCUUCCCUCCUGCCGUUCAAAGGCAUCUGCAUCCUUUGUUGUAGCCAGAUUUCUCACUCUGUAUUGCUUUUCUUCCUAGGCACUUAAAUAUCCUCAUCUAUCUCCAAGUGCCUUCCUUGACACCUUGCAUCUCCAAUAGAACGUUCUGUGACAAUGGCCAUGUUCUUAUAUUUGCACUGUCCACUAUGGUAGCCACUAGCCACGUGUCGCUGCUGAAGCCUUGAACUGUGGCUAGUGCGACUGAGGAAUGGAAUUUAACAUUGUAUCUUAUUGUAGUGGUUACCAUAUUGAAUGGCAUAGCUUAAGACCUGUCCUGUCUCCUUCCUCAACCCAGUUAGUUAGAUGUCUCUUCAAGGGUUGUUAUUCUAGAGCUAGGGCCCACCUGUAGUCCCAGCUACUUGGAGAGGCUGAGUCAGGGGGGUUACUUGAGCCUAGGAGUUUUGAGACUGCAGUGAGUGCCUGUGAAUAGCCACUGCACUCCAGCUGGGCAACAGAGUGAGACCUCAUAUUUAAAAAAAAAAAAAAAAGUUGUUUCAUUUGUCUCCAUUUCCCUUUCUUUACACACUCCGCUGCUGCUAUGAUACAGUUUCUAUUCUGAUACUCCACCAUCCCCCUAAGCCAUUAACAGUCAUGGACAUUUAUUAUUAUUAUUAUUAGUAUUUGAGAUGGAGUCUUGCACUGUUGCCCAGGCUGGAGUGCAGUGGUGCAAUCUUGGCUCACUGCAACCUCUGCUUCCCAGGUUCAAGUGAUUCUCCUGCCUCAGCCUCCUGAGCAGCUGAGAUUACAGGAAUACACCACCACGCCCAGCUAAUUUUUUGUAUUUUAUUAGAGAUGGGGUUUCACCGUGUUGCCCAGGUUGGUCUCGAACUCCUGAGCUCAGGCAAUCCACCUGCCUCGGCCUCCCAGACUGCUUGGAUUACAGGCGUGAGCCACCAUGCCUGGCCGACAUUUUUAAUUCUAAAUGUUGUUUUGAAACCUAAGAGACAGGAUCUUGCCUUGUUGCCGAGGCUGGCCUUGAACUUGGCCUGAGCUCAAGCCAUUCUCCCACUUCAGCCUCUUGAGUAGCUGGGAUCAUAGGCAUGUGCCACCGUGGUCAGCAGCAGAGACUUUUUUCUUAAAAGACGACCAGAUUGGCUAGAAUCAUGGUAUCUUCAUGUCAGAAAGGGCCUCCUCUCCAGGGUUUGGAUAAAGAUUGAGGUGCACCCGGGGCUACACUAAAAGAGAUUUAGCCCCGCAUUUAGGUCAGGCGUGGUGGCUCAUGCCUAUAAUCCCAACACCUUGAGAGGCCAAGGUGGAUGGAUCACCUGAGGUCAGAAGUUCGAGACCA
rnacentral:lncRNA from 1 species